GAAGCAACAGCAGAAGUGUAUCUGAUAUCAUUAGAAGUUUAAGUCAUGGCGUCUGGAUCCAGGCAUGGAGACAGCAUUUCUACAUCUGACAGAGUCAUUGCCUUCACUGCCAAGCUGAACAUCGAUGACAGCUACCCAUGUCACUCUGGUGUCCUGAAGUUAACCAACAUCCUGGUCAAUGAGGGAACUGCUUACAGUCCUUGUACUGGCAUCUUCACCUGUCCUCUGGCUGGCUUCUAUCA